UUAAGUUAAUAAGGGCGCACGGUGGAUGCCUUGGCACUAGAAGCCGAUGAAGGACGUGACUAACGACGAAAUGCUUUGGGGAGCUGUAAGUGAGCAAUGAUCCAGAGAUGUCCGAAUGGGGGAACCCGGCAGGUAAUGCCUGUCACUCAUUACUGUUAAGGUAAUGUAGAGGAAGACGCAGUGAACUGAAACAUCUAAGUAGCUGCAGGAAGAGAAAGCAAAAGCGAUUGCCUUAGUAGCGGCGAGCGAAACGGCAAGAGGGCAAACCGAAGAGUUUACUCUUCGGGGUUGUAGGACUGCAACGUGGACUUAAAGAUUAUAGAAGAACUACCUGGGAAGGUAGGCCAAAGAGAGUAAUAGCCUCGUAUUCGAAAUAGUCUUUAUACCUAGCAGUAUCCUGAGUACGGCGAGACACGAGAAAUCUCGUCGGAAUCUGGGAGGACCAUCUCCCAACCCUAAAUACUCUCUAGUGACCGAUAGUGAACCAGUACCGUGAGGGAAAGGUGAAAAGCACCCCGGGAGGGGAGUGAAAUAGAACCUGAAACCGUGUGCCUACAACAAGUUCGAGCCCGUUAAUGGGUGAGAGCGUGCCUUUUGUAGAAUGAACCGGCGAGUUACGAUAUGAUGCGAGGUUAAGUUGAAGAGACGGAGCCGUAGGGAAACCGAGUCUUAAUAGGGCGUAUUAGUAUCAUGUCGUAGACCCGAAACCAUGUGACCUACCCAUGAGCAGGUUGAAGGUGAGGUAAAACUCACUGGAGGACCGAACCAGGGCACGUUGAAAAGUGCUUGGAUGACUUGUGGGUAGCGGAGAAAUUCCAAACGAACUUGGAGAUAGCUGGUUCUCUCCGAAAUAGCUUUAGGGCUAGCGUCGAUGUUAAGUCUCUUGGAGGUAGAGCACUGUUUGGGUGAGGGGUCCAUCCCGGAUUACCAAUCUCAGAUAAACUCCGAAUGCCAACGAGAUAUAAUCGGCAGUCAGACUGCGAGUGCUAAGAUCCGUAGUCGAAAGGGAAACAGCCCAGACCACCAGCUAAGGUCCCAAAAUAUAUGUUAAGUGGAAAAGGAUGUGGGGUUGCACAGACAACUAGGAUGUUAGCUUAGAAGCAGCUAUUCAUUCAAAGAGUGCGUAAUAGCUCACUAGUCGAGUGACCCUGCGCCGAAAAUGUACCGGGGCUAAAACAUAUUACCGAAGCUGUGGAUACCUUUAUAGGUAUGGUAGGAGAGCGUUCUAUGUGCGAAGAAGGUGUACCGUGAGGAGUGCUGGAGCGCAUAGAAGUGAGAAUGCCGGUAUGAGUAGCGAAAGACAGGUGAGAAUCCUGUCCACCGUAAGACUAAGGUUUCCAGGGGAAGGCUCGUCCGCCCUGGGUUAGUCGGGACCUAAGGAGAGACCGAAAGGUGUAUCCGAUGGACAACAGGUUGAUAUUCCUGUACUAGAGUAUAUAGUGAUGGAGGGACGCAGUAGGCUAACUAAACCAGACGAUUGGAAGUGUCUGGCCAAGCAGUGAGGUGUGAUAUGAGUCAAAUGCUUAUAUCUAUAACAUUGAGCUGUGAUGGGGAGCGAAGUUUAGUAGCGAAGUUAGUGAUGUCACACUGCCGAGAAAAGCUUCUAGCGUUAAUUAUACUCUACCCGUACCGCAAACCGACACAGGUAGUCGAGGCGAGUAGCCUCAGGUGAGCGAGAGAACUCUCGUUAAGGAACUCGGCAAAAUGGCCCCGUAACUUCGGGAGAAGGGGCGCUGACUUAUGGUCAGCCGCAGUGAAUAGGCCCAAGCAACUGUUUAUCAAAAACACAGCUCUCUGCUAAAACGUAAGAUGAUGUAUAGGGGGUGACGCCUGCCCGGUGCUGGAAGGUUAAGAGGAGUGCUUAGCAAUAGCGAAGGUAUGAAUUGAAGCCCCAGUAAACGGCGGCCGUAACUAUAACGGUCCUAAGGUAGCGAAAUUCCUUGUCGGGUAAGUUCCGACCCGCACGAAAGGCGUAAUGAUUUGGGCACUGUCUCAACGAGAGACUCGGUGAAAUUUUAGUACCUGUGAAGAUGCAGGUUACCCGCGACAGGACGGAAAGACCCCAUGGAGCUUUACUGCAGUUUGAUAUUGAGUAUCUGUACCACAUGUACAGGAUAGGUUGGAGCCUAUGACCUCGGGACGCCAGUUUCGAGUGAGGCGUUGUUGGGAUACUACCCUUG
rnacentral:rRNA from 1 species